UCAUGAAUUUUUACAAAUCACUAAUCAGUGUAUAAUAAUUUUAAAAAAACAUUGCCGUUUCAGAUAAUAAACCAUAAUGUUCUAGAGUACGUCGAUUCUUCGGAUUUAUAUAAUAUUAUAUUAAAAUUAUGUUGAGGACAACGAGCACACACUAUAUCUAUUAACAUUUUACCAUGUAUAAGCUGAAAUUCGAAUAAUUAUUAUUGAAAACAUGUAUUUUAAUCAUUAUAGAUUCAUAGGUAACAUUUAACCACCCAGGCGCCGGCGCCAGCGCCAGCGCACGUGCCAAAAUCGCAAACCAGUCGUCCUUCUAAAAUUUGGCGACUAUAUUAAAAUUAGCAUUUGAAGCGUCAUAGCUUGGUGGUUACAUCGUUUACAAAAACAAUAUGUCAAAAGAAAUACAGCAUAAUCAGAUGUACCAGAGCCAUCGAGACCAGAGGACUUUCUCCGGCGCUUAGCCAUACACACACACCAGCCAUACGACUAUAAAUUGUACUUCAAAUCAAGACGACACUUUUGGAUCGCUGACGGUCCGCAUGCAACAAUGUUGACGAUAGCAAAAUAUAGGUAAUUGUUCUUAGUAUUAAGUUUAAGAUUAAUUCCGUGAUAUUUAUUUUUGUAGGAUUUAAUAAUGCUUCUAAAGUCAUUUUGCAUUUUUCGGAAACAGCAACCUGCAGAUAUAAUUAAUAUAAUCUGUUGGCGUAGUGUCUUCAAGUUUAUUCGAAUUACAAAACAUUGUGAAGUCACGGAGACUAUUGUAACGUGAAAUGGAGAAGUAUAAAAGAGGUGUACUACCUAUUAAAGCUGUCGCGACGAGUAAAUAAUACCGCGACUGCAGUUCAUUAUGACUAUAUUACAUUGUGUUUGUGUAAUUAUCCAACAGAUAUAUUAAUAAGCAUUAUGACGUACCUAAUCACUGUUAUAUAUGUUACAGACAAUGUGGAAUACCGGGAAACGUGAACUACGAUUUUUUUUUUAUCAACCAACUAAUAUUAAUAUUCAUUUUCAUUAUAAAUUAUAAUUUUAUUACUAUCUACCUAUUUAUAAUAAUUUAUAGUAU